rfam:Salmo salar isolate Sally breed double haploid chromosome ssa16, whole genome shotgun sequence.
CCAAAGGCUCUUUUAAGAGCCACCCACAUUGUAAUAAAAUAGUGUU